UACGAAGGGGGCUAGCGUUGCUCGGAAUCACUGGGCGUAAAGCGCACGUAGGCGGCUUUCUAAGUCAGGGGUGAAAUCCUGGAGCUCAACUCCAGAACUGCCUUUGAUACUGGGAGCUCGAGUCCGGAAGAGGUGAGUGGAACUCCGAGUGUAGAGGUGAAGUUCGUAGAUAUUCGCAAGAACACCAGUGGCGAAGGCGGCUCACUGGCCCGGUACUGACGCUGAGGUGCGAAAGCGUGGGGAGCAAACAGG
rnacentral:rRNA from 1 species